UAGGGAAUCUUCCACAAUGGACGCAAGUCUGAUGGAGCAACGCCGCGUGAGUGAAGAAGGUUUUCGGAUCGUAAAGCUCUGUUGUUGGUGAAGAAGGAUAGAGGCAGUAACUGGUCUUUAUUUGACGGUAAUCAACCAGAAAGUCACGGCUAACUACGUGCCAGCAGCCGCGGUAAUACGUAGGUGGCAAGCGUUGUCCGGAUUUAUUGGGCGUAAAGCGAGCGCAGGCGGAACGAUAAGUCUGAUGUGAAAGCCCACGGCUCAACCGUGGAACUGCAUCGGAAACUGUCAUUCUUGAGUGCAGAAGAGGAGAGUGGAAUUCCAUGUGUAGCGGUGGAAUGCGUAGAUAUAUGGAAGAACACCAGUGGCGAAGGCGGCUCUCUGGUCUGCAACUGACGCUGAGGCUCGAAAGCAUGGGUAGCGAACAGG
rnacentral:rRNA from 1 species